rnacentral:rRNA from 1 species
GACGAACGCUGGCGGCGUGCCUAAUACAUGCAAGUCGAACGAAGUGGAGAACUGGUUAGUAAUACGUGAGUAACCUGCCCUCCUUUUUGUGAUAAGCCUUGGCAACGGGGUCUAAUACCGGAUAAUGGGGGUUGGGCUCGCGGUCUAUCAGCUUGUUGGUGGGGUGAUGGCGUACCAAGGCUGUGACGGGUAGCCGGCCUGAGAGGGUGACCGGCCACACUGGGACUGAGAUACGGCCCAGACUCCUACGGGAGGCAGCAGUGGGGGAUAUUGCACAAUGGGCGAAAGCCUGAUGCAGCGACGCCGCGUGGGGGAUGAAGGCUUUCGGGUUGUAAACUUCGUUCGCUAUCGAAAUGGUAGGUGGUGAAGAAGCGCCGGCUAACUACGUGCCAGCAGCCGCGGUAAUAC